CCCGUCGAGCGCGGUGUUCCGCAGGGGUUA
rnacentral:sRNA from 1 species